rnacentral:rRNA from 1 species
UACGAAGGGUGCAAGCGUUACUCGGAAUUACUGGGCGUAAAGGGUGCGUAGGUGGUUGUUUAAGUCUGUUGUGAAAGCCCCGGGCUCAACCUGGGAAUGGCAAUGGAUACUGGACAGCUAGAGUGCGGUAGAGGGUAGUGGAAUUCCUGGUGUAGCAGUGAAAUGCGUAGAGAUCGGGAGGAACACCAGUGGCGAAGGCGGCUACCUGGACCAGCACUGACACUGAAGCACGAAAGCGUGGGGAGCAAACAGG